AGCACUGACCUGGAAGACCGGGAUUCUAGACCGGAUUCAGCGUCUGUUUUCCUGUGGGACAUCUAACAGAUCACUUCCCUUUGUGAGCCUCAGUUUCCCCCAUCCAUCAGCCUAGGUUGUCUCACUGGAGCAGAAACGCGGGAAAGCUGCGAACAGGGGGAGCAGAAGCGAAGAACCACUAAAACGAGACACAGCCUGUGUGCUUUAAGACUCCUCCCACUCUGCCACCGGGAGUUAGUGGGAAUAACAGCCUGGUGGAGUAGAUGCAGAUUCCUGGGCCCUGGCCGGCAGACUCAGAUUCCUUAGAUCUGUGAUUGCUGCGUUUCUCAACUUCCCUUUGUCUGACAAGCUGAAGUUUCCACACCUGGGCUGGGUCAGAGAAGCCUUGGAGAAUCCCCAGGAAUAAAUCUAACCAGCACAUGCAAGACUUCUUCACUGAAAACAGCAUAUGAUUAUUGAAAGAAAUUAAAGAAAACCUAAAUAAAUGGAGAGCUAGACCACAUUCAUAGACUGGAAGAUUCAAUAAGCGAAGAUGUCAGUUCUCUUCAAAUUAAUCUUCUGAUUUGACGCAGUCCAAGUCAAAAUACUAGCAGAUUUUAUUGUGUAGAAAUUGACCGAUUCUAAAGCUGAUGCUAAAAUUCAUAUGGAAAUUCAUUUAGAAUCUAAAACUGAUUCCAAAAUUCACAUGGAAAUUCAAAGAGCCCAGAAGAGUAAAGAUAAUCUGGAAGAGGAUUGAUAUUCUCCAACGCAGAGCGGAUCGAUGCACGUAAUUCUUGCAGAUUUCCUUUGGCUUUGCGCCGUGAGGGAGGGAGACAGUUGGAAACGUCGUGAUUUUGAGAGGAAGCCGGUGUUUCCUGAAGCCUUUGUUUUGGGUGCGCCUUAACCGCACCUGCGUUUCUUGCAGCUUCUUACAAAGAAACUUCUUUUUUUUUUUUUGAGAGUCAAAAUAGUUGAACUGAAGUUAUUUUCAACCGGAGGGAAAUGUUUGAAAGCUCAGCCUUUGUGAGCCCAAAGAGCAUUGUUUCAUCGACAGUGAUUGAAACAGUCAUUUCCUUUGGGAAGUCUUUGCCAUUGAAGCAAACUUUGAUUUUGGAAGCAAAAGUUUUGGCUUUAAAGAUGGGAUCCAAGUGUUACACCUUCUUCUCAUAGCUCCCCGGCCAUUUAUCGGAGUGCUGUGAUAGUAAGGUUGUUUGCAUUUGAACAGAAAGACCUGCUCUGGCCAGCUGGGCUGAUGCUAAGAGGCAGUAUAGUUCAGUGGUGAGGAGCACAUCCCUUACAGCUGGGCUGCCUGGGUUUGCCUCACUCUGCCACUUGCAAGCUGGAAUCUUCGGCAAAUUACAUAACUGUCCUGAACUUCAGUUUCUGCCUUUAUAAAAUGGGGAUGAAGAUAGUAUUUAUUUCCUAUGAUUUUUUAUAAUUAUUAAUUAACAUA
rnacentral:lncRNA from 1 species